rnacentral:rRNA from 1 species
AUUGAACGCUGGCGGCGUGCCUAACACAUGCAAGUCGAGCGGUAACAGGUGUAGCAAUACAUGCUGACGAGCGGCGGACAGGUGAGUAACGCUUGGGAAUCUGCCUGAUAGUGGGGGACAACCCGGGGGAAACUCGGGCUAAUACCGCAUACGCACUACGGUGGAAAGCCGGGGACCGCAAGGCCUGGCGCUAUCAGAUGAGCCCAAGUCGGAUUAGCUAGNGGUAGGGUAACGGCCUACCAAGGCGACGAUCCGUAACUGGUCUGAGAGGACGACCAGUCACACCGGAACUGAGACACGGUCCGGACUCCUACGGGAGGCAGCAGUGGGGAAUAUUGGACAAUGGGCGAAGCCUGAUCCAGCGACGCCGCGUGGGUGAAGAAGG